rnacentral:rRNA from 1 species
GACGAACGCUGGCGGCGUGCUUAACACAUGCAAGUCGAACGGUGAAGCGCCUUCCUUUUUGGUGGGUGUGGAGGAGGGGCGAACGGGGGAGUAACACGUGAGUAACCUGCCCCCUCCUGCUGGAUAACCGCAGGAAAGUGUGGCUAAUACGGGAUAUGCUGGGUCGGUCGCAUGAUGGGUCUGGGAAAGAUAUUGUUUCGGUGGGGGAUGGGCUCGCGGCCUAUCAGGUUGUUGGUGGGGUGAUGGCCUACCAAGGCGGUGAGGAGUUGCCGGCCUGGGAGGGUGGGCGGCCCCACUGGGGCUGCGCCGCGGCCCCGACUACUGCGGGCAGCAGCGGUGGAGAUUAUUGAACAGUGGGCACAAUCCUGCUGCAGCGACGCCGCGGGGGAGAUGGCGGCCUGCGGGUUGUGACCCUCUUUCGCCAGUGAAGCAGGCCUGCCUCGUUUGUGGGUGGGUUGACGGUAGCUGGAGAAGAAGCGCCGGCUAACUACGUG